AGAGUUUGAUCCUGGCUCAGAUUGAACGCUGGCGGUAUGCUUAACACAUGCAAGUCGAACGGAAACGAAACUAGCUUGCUAGUAGGCGUCGAGUGGCGGACGGGUGAGUAACGCGUAGGAAUCUGCCUGAUAGUGGGGGAUAGCCCGAAGAAAUUCGGAUUAAUACCGCAUAAUCUAUUCGUAGUAAAGUGGGGGACUUUCGAGCCUCACGCUAUCAGAUGAGCCUGCGUAAGAUUAGCUUGUUGGUAGGGUAAAAGCCUACCAAGGCAACGAUCUUUAGCUGGUCUGAGAGGAUGAUCAGCCACAUCGGGACUGAGACACGGCCCGAACUCCUACGGGAGGCAGCAGUGGGGAAUAUUGGACAAUGGGGGCAACCCUGAUCCAGCAAUACCGCGUGUGUGAAGAAGGCCUGAGGGUUGUAAAGCACUUUCAAUUGUGAAGAAAAGUUAACGGUUAAUAACCGUUGACCUUGACGUUAACUUUAGAAGAAGCACCGGCUAACUCCGUGCCAGCAGCCGCGGUAAUACGGAGGGUGCAAGCGUUAAUCGGAAUUACUGGGCGUAAAGCGUGCGUAGGCGGUUUAUUAAGUCAGAUGUGAAAGCCCCGGGCUUAACCUGGGAACUGCAUUUGAAACUGGUCAACUAGAGUAUGGUAGAGGAAAGUGGAAUUUCUGGUGUAGCGGUGAAAUGCGUAGAUAUCAGAAGGAACAUCAAUGGCGAAGGCAGCUUUCUGGACCAAUACUGACGCUGAGGUACGAAAGCGUGGGUAGCAAACAGGAUUAGAUACCCUGGUAGUCCACGCCGUAAACGAUGAUAACUAGCCGUUGGGGGGUUUUACCCCUUAGUGGCGAAGCUAACGCGUUAAGUUAUCCGCCUGGGGAGUACGGCCGCAAGGCUAAAACUCAAAGGAAUUGACGGGGACCCGCACAAGCGGUGGAGCAUGUGGUUUAAUUCGAUGCAACGCGAAGAACCUUACCUGGUCUUGACAUCCUGCGAACUUUCUAGAAAUAGAUUGGUGCCUUCGGGAACGCAGUGACAGGUGCUGCAUGGCUGUCGUCAGCUCGUGUCGUGAGAUGUUGGGUUAAGUCCCGUAACGAGCGCAACCCUUGUCCUAUGUUGCCAGCGGAUAAUGCCGGGGACUCGUAGGAGACUGCCGGGGUCAACUCGGAGGAAGGUGGGGACGACGUCAAGUCAUCAUGCCCCUUAUAUCCAGGGCUGCAAACAUGCUACAAUGGCCGGUACAGAGGGCUGCAAAACCGCGAGGUUGAGCGAAUCCCACAAAGCCGGUCUCAGUUCGGAUUGGAGUCUGCAACUCGACUCCAUGAAGGCGGAGUCGCUAGUAAUCCCGGAUCAGCAACGCCGGGGUGAAUACGUUCCCGGGCCUUGUACACACCGCCCGUCACACCACGAAAGUCAGCAACACCCGAAGUCAGUGGCCUAACUCUUAGGAGAAGGAGCUGCCGAAGGUGGGGUCGGCGAUUGGGGUGAAGUCGUAACAAGGUAACC
rnacentral:rRNA from 1 species